rnacentral:rRNA from 1 species
AGAGUUUGAUCCUGGCUCAGGACGAACGCUGGCGGCGUGCUUAACACAUGCAAGUCUACGAGAACGAGGUAGCAAUAUCUUUAGUAAAGUGGCGCACGGGUGCGUAACACGUAAGCAAUCUACCUUUGGGUCUGGAAUAACUUCGAGAAAUCGAGGCUAAUACCGGAUAAUGCAGCGGCACCGCAUGGUGAUGUUGUUAAAGUUUAAGUAAUGCCUAUAGAUGAGCUUGCGUCUGAUUAGCUAGUUGGUAGGGUAAAGGCCUACCAAGGCUACGAUCAGUAGCUGGUCUGAGAGGAUGAUCAGCCACACUGGAACUGAGACACGGUCCAGACUCCUACGGGAGGCAGCAGUGAGGAAUAUUGGGCAAUGCCCGCAAGGGUGACCCAGCAACGCCGCGUGGAGGAUGAAGGCCGUAAGGUUGUAAACUCCUGUUAGAGGAGAAGAACAGUACCGAUUGGAUCGGUAUUUGACUGUACCCUCAGAGAAAGCCCCGGCUAACUACGUGCCAGCAGCCGCGGUAAUACGUAGGGGGCAAGCGUUGUCCGGAUUUACUGGGUGUAAAGGGCGCGCAGGCGGAAUAUCAAGUCAGAGGUGAAAUCCUACAGCUUAACUGUAGAACUGCCUUUGAUACUGUUAUUCUUGAGUUCGGGAGAGAGAGACGGAAUUCCAGGUGUAGUGGUGAAAUACGUAGAUAUCUGGAAGAACACCAGUUGCGAAGGCGGUCUCUUGGUCCGAUACUGACGCUGAGGCGCGAAAGCGUGGGGA